UACACUGAAGCCGGAGGUGGCGCUGUGCAGUGAGGUGUUUAGGUUGAGUCUGCUGGAGGAUGGCAGAAAUGUCAUGGGGAGCCAGAAUAGUGAGGGGAUGACCCAGCACAACGUCAGAUGUGACAUUUUAGAAGAGAGCUGGCAUCAUAGAUAGCUCUGACACAGGAAGGGGCGCUCUGGCUACCGGGUCAAGACGCUUAGAAUAGUAGCACUUUGGGGUCAUACC